rnacentral:lncRNA from 1 species
CCUUGGGAACUGCAGUUGGAGAAAAGGGGGACUCUCUUAACUGUCUAGCUCUUGGCCACAAUGCUGGGCAGGCCUUGGGAUGGUGGCACUCCCAUGGGUGGAAGGAGGCAGGGAGGUGGGAGAAGGGGCCGUGGGUGCUUAGUUAAGGUAACUGCUGUUUGUCCACAGAACUUGAAGUAUAAGCGACGUUGAAAGCUGAACUGCAAAGACAGGCCAUAUGAUUCCUCCUCUAGAGCUGGACCAAGUGAAGGAGCCCCACAGCUCCUUCCUGGGCUGAGAGCUGGGGAGAGAUACUUGUCUAGGGGAGGGAGUCCCCUCUGUGUCACAGGUCAUCACCUCUCAGUUUGGGUUACUUGGUACUUUGGCAUCAGCUUAGUUCCUUACACCCAAUCCCUCCCCUCCAGGUGCUUGGUGCUCUUCAGACCACAGUCCUUUCACCCUGUGGCUGGGACCAGGAUGGACAGAAAGGGAGUUUGGGAAGAAUGACAGAGGAAGCAACCUACAGCAUCUCAGGCAACUACUCUGUGUGGGCCCAGGCCACCUGCUGCUGUGGGGCAGAAGAGGACAUGGGAGAGAUGGUGCCCCUGGAGCACACCACUGGCUUCAAACAAGAUUGGAGCAAAAGAUUCUCCUGCUGGCUUUGAAGAAGCUGCCAUGUUGUGAGAGGGCCCCAUGGCAAGGAACUGCAGGUGGCCUCUAGGAAGGGAACUCAGAGAAGCCCUUGGGUGACAUUCAGAAGAAAAGAGGAACCACAGUCCUACAGCCACAAAAAAACUGAAUUCUGGCAACAACCAUCUGAGCUUAGAAAAGAGCCUCAAACUCAAGAAAGGCAGGCAGCCUGGCUGACACCUUGAUCGCAGUCUUGUGUGACCCUCAGCAGAGGACCCAUUUGAGUCAUGCCUGGACUCCUCACCCAGGGAAACUGGAAAAUGAUAAAUGUAUAUUGUUUUAAGCCUCUAGGUUUGUGGUAAUUUGUUAUGGAGCAAUAGAUAACUAAUACAACUGUCUACCAUCAUAAAUGAUCAGCCUAACCAA